rnacentral:lncRNA from 1 species
CUUUAUGUCUUUGCUGAUCUCCCUCUCUCAGGUUGCAGAUUUAUUCCUUGGUGCUUUGUUUCCUAAUUGCCUGCCACCCUCUCCUCACCAAGCAGAGCAGUCUCCACCUGGAUUUCCCAGCCCUGUCUGGGGUCAUUCCUUGAUGUUUCUCCCCAAGACUGAGCUGGGUGGAUGAGUGUUAGGCACAUAGGUUUGUUCUUUCUGGAUGGAAUGACUACAAAGAGUUCUUUGUAGUCCUGAGCAUCAGCACUGAUUUGUCGGGGGGUGUUGGUGUCUCUACCAUGUGGAUGUUUCCGUGCUGUGACAUGGGAUAAUCUUGCAAGGACACUGGGAGAGGUCCAAGAGAUCCCAGCAGGGACCUCAGGGCUGAUACCAGCUGGGAGUGCAGUUAGGCUUUUGCAGGUAGUGGGAAUGCUGGGGUGGAUCCUGCCCUGAGCCCCCAGCCCUGGAUCCAAGCCCUGAGCCAGCAAUUCCUGAGCUCAGUGUCCUCCUGCCUCCCCACACUGCAAUUCCUGAGCUCAGUGUCCUCCUGCCACCCCACACUGCAAUUCCUGAGCUCAGUGUCCUCCUGCCUCCCCACACUGCAAUUCCUGAGCUCAGUGUCCUCCUGCCUCCCCACACUGCAAUUCCUGAGCUCAGUGUCCUCCUGCCUCCCCACACUGCAAUUCCUGAGCUCAGUGUCCUCCUGCCUCCCCACACUGCAAUUCCUGAGCUCAGUGUCCUCCUGCCUCCCCACACUGCAAUUCCUGAGCUCAGUGUCCUCCUGCCUCCCCACACUGCAAUUCCUGAGCUCAGUGUCCUCCUGCCUCCCCACACUGCAAUUCCUGAGCUCAGUGUCCUCCUGCCUCCCCACACUGCAAUUCCUGAGCUCAGUGUCCUCCUGCCUCCCCACACUGCAAUUCCUGAGCUCAGUGUCCUCCUGCCUCCCCACACUGCAAUUCCUGAGCUCAGUGUCCUCCUGCCUCCCCACACUGCAAUUCCUGAGCUCAGUGUCCUCCUGCCUCCCCACACUGCAAUUCCUGAGCUCAGUGUCCUCCUGCCUCCCCACACUGCAAUUCCUGAGCUCAGUGUCCUCCUGCCUCCCCACACUGCAAUUCCUGAGCUCAGUGUCCUCCUGCCUCCCCACACUGCAAUUCCUGAGCUCAGUGUCCUCCUGCCUCCCCACACUGCAAUUCCUGAGCUCAGUGUCCUCCUGCCUCCCCACACUGCAAUUCCUGAGCUCAGUGUCCUCCUGCCUCCCCACACUGCAAUUCCUGAGCUCAGUGUCCCCCUGCCUCCCCAGCACCUUCUCUCCCACUCCAGCACCCCCCUCUCCCAGCCCAACACUGAUGUUUACUGGAGGAACUCUUUUUUAUCUGCCUGUGCUGCCCUGGGUUCGAUACUGUCCUUCCUUGAGGACAGAACCUCCUGGCAGCACCGAGGGUUUAAAGGGCUCAUGAUAAAAGAUGUU